GACGAACGCUGGCGGCGUGCUUAACACAUGCAAGUCGAGCGGCAAGGCCCUGCUUUUGUGGGGUGCUCGGGUGGCGAACGGGUGCGUAACAAGUGAGUAACCUGACCUUGAUUUUGGGGUAACUUCAGGAAACUGGGGCUAAUAUCGGAUAGGAGCCCCUGUUGCAUGGUGGGGGUUGGAAAGUUUCGGCGGGUGGGGAUGGAUUCGCGGGUUAUCAGCUUGUUGGUGGGGUAGUGGCAUACCCAGGCUUUGACCGGUAGCUGGCCUGAGCGGGUGACCGGGCACAAUGGUACUAAGAUACGGCCCAGUCUCCUACGGGGGGCAGCAGUGGCGAGUAUGGCACAGUGAGCCGAAGCCGGUUGCGGCAACGCCGGGUGCGGGAUGACGGCCUUCGGGGUGUGAACCGCAGUCGCCUAUGACGAAGCGGUAGUGACGGUAAUGAAUAAAGAAGCACCGGCUAACUUCGUG
rnacentral:rRNA from 1 species